rnacentral:lncRNA from 1 species
AUGUGUAUUUAUACUACCACAGUACCCACCCCUCUGAUAUGUGUAUUUAUACUACCACAGUACGUUCUGAUAUGUGUAUUUAUACUACCACAGUACCCAACCAGGAGCCUCCUACAGAGCUCACAGUUCAUCACUGUCCUUUCCCUGGUGGGGAGAAGACCAGAAGAGGGUGAUGUCCUUCCUGUCUCCAAGUUCUGCCUCAAAAUGUGCUGGGGUUCGAUCCAGAGUGCAAAGAGUUCUUCCUGGAGGGGACAACUCCAAUUCUCCCAGCCUACACCUUCACUGGGGUCGGACCGAGAGAGAAAAGACCAGACACAUGGAUGAUUGAACCUCAGGUAAUUUAAACAUCUUUUCAAAUCGACAUUUCAUGCCAAGGUUGAACAAUAACUUUCAAUAGACAAUUACUACUGUCUGUCUAGCAAGAUACCAUGUCUGUUUCAUUCCUUAAAGGGAUAGUUUCUAAAAUAAAAAACAGAAACACCUUAUUUACAUGAGUAUUCAGACCCUGGUUUUGCUUUGUCAUUAUGGGGUGUGUGUAGAUUGUGUGUAGAUUGAUGAGGGAAAAGUAUAAUUUAAUCAAUUUUAGAAUUAGAGGUCAGGUCUAAUAUACAGGUCUUGUCUAAUAUUCAGGUUAGGUCUAAUAUACAGGUCUACUAUACAGGUCUACUAUACAGGUCUACUAUACAGGUCUACUAUACAGGUCUACUAUACAGGUCUAAUAUACAGGUCUAAUAUACAGGUCAGGUCUAAUAUACAGGUCUACUAUACAGGUCUAAUAUACAGGUCAGGUCUAAUAUACAGGUCUACUAUACAGGUCUAAUAUACAGGUCAGGUCUACUAUACAGGUCUACUAUACAGGUCUACUAUACAGGUCUACUAUACAGGUCUACUAUACAGGUCUACUAUACAGGUCUAAUAUACAGGUCUAAUAUACAGGUCAGGUCUAAUAUACAGGUCUACUAUACAGGUCUAAUAUACAGGUCAGGUCUAAUAUACAGGUCUACUAUACAGGUCUAAUAUACAGGUCAGGUCUAAUAUACAGGUCUACUAUACAGGUCUAAUAUACAGGUCAGGUCUAAUAUACAGGUCUAAUAUACAGGUCUAAUAUACAGGUCUAAUAUACAGGUCUGAUAUACAGGUCAGGUCUAAUAUACAGGUCUACUAUAAAGGUCUACUAUACUGGUCUAAUAUACAGGUCUGAUAUACAGGUCAGGUCUAAUAUACAGGUCUGAUAUACAGGUCUAAUAUACAGGUCUGAUAUACAGGUCUAAUAUACAGGUCUAAUAUACAGGUCUAAUAUACAGGUCUAAUAUACAGGUCAGGUCUAAUAUACAGGUCUAAUAUACAGGUCUAAUAUACAGGUCUAAUAUACAGGUCAGGUCUAAUAUACAGGUCUAAUAUACAGGUCUAAUAUACAGGUCUAUCAUACAGGUCAGGUCUAAUAUACAGGUCUAAUAUACAGGUCUAAUAUACAGGUCUAAUAUACAGGUCUAAUAUACAGGUCUAAUAUACAGGUCUAAUAUACAGGUCUAAUAUACAGGUCAGGUCUAAUAUACAGGUCAGGUCUAAUAUACAGGUCAGGUCUAAUAUACAGGUCUAUUAU